rnacentral:tRNA from 1 species
GUAUUCCUAAUAGUAAGUGGUAAGCUAUAUCAUUGUGACAGAAUGAAGGCUGGGUUCGAUUCCCAGGGAAUACGC